GACGGAGGAAUCUGCAGACCCCAAAAAGGGUUCUUUUCCACAGCCUUGUGCGUCACAUUAAGACGCGAAAGACGUCCUUCUGUGUGUCACGUGGAUACCAUAGUGUCUUCCCACAGAGACACAAUCCAAAGUGGAGAAGUUUGAAAAGAGGAGAGCAAAGAUGUCCUGCAACACCCUUCCGUUUGACAGAGAUUCGAAAACGUGAAUCCAGCAUCAGCAGUGCCAUCGCACAAAGAAACAGGAGACAACAACACAGAAGAGAGGAAAACGCACAAGAAAGGACACAUGGAGACAUGGAGGAGAGGAUCACAGAGACUGGAGCUCGUCUGCUUGUUAAUAAAGCCUUCACUGUGGACACAUGGUGUACAUUUGUCUCAUUAAAAGGCGAGGGGGAAAUGGAACGACUUCUGGGGCU